CCCCUAGAUGUUCUGGGCCGCACGCGCGCUACACUGGACAGUUCAACAAGUCUUAACCUUGGCCGAUAGGUCUGGGUAAUCUUUGAACGCUGUUCGUGAUUGGGAUAGACCUUUGCAAUUAUGGGUCUUCAACGAGGAAUUCCUAGUAAACGCAAGUCAUCAGCUUGCAUUGAUUACGUCCCUGCCCUUUGUACACACCGCCCGUCGCACCUACCGAUUGAAUGGUCCGGUGAAAUCUCGGGACGGCGGCUUGGUCGCUUGCGUCCGACUGCUGAAACUUGAUUAAACCAUAUCAUUUAGAGGAAGGUGAANUCGUAACA
rnacentral:rRNA from 1 species